GUGCUCGCUUUGGUAGCACAUGCACUAAAAUUGAAACGAUACAGAGAAGAUUAGCAUGACCCCUGUGCAAGGAUGACACACAAAUUGGUGACGUGUUCUAUAUUAAA
ensembl:snRNA U6 U6 spliceosomal RNA